rnacentral:tRNA from 1 species
GCGCCCUUAGCUCAGAUGGAUAGAGCAGGAGCCUUCUAAGCUUCAGGCCGGUGGUUCGAAUCCACCAGGGCGCGCCA